GACGAACGCUGGCGGCGUGCUUAACACAUGCAAGUCGAACGGGCCUGUCUUCUUUUUUGGGGGGUGGGUUGAGUGGCGAACGGGUGAGUAUCACGUGAGUAACCUGCCCUUCGGUCCUGGAUAACCGCUUGAAAGGGCGGCUAAUACGGGGUGGUCCGGUUGGUCCGCAUGGGCUGGUCGGGAUAGAUUCACUGUUUUUGGUGUUUCGGCGGGGGAUGGGCUCGCGGCCUAUCAGCUUGUUGGUGAGGUGAUGGCCUACCAAGGCGGUGACGGGUAGCCGGCCUGAGGGGGUGGGCGGCCACACUGGGACUGAGAUACGGCCCAGACUCCUGCGGGAGGCAGCAGUGGGGGGUAUUGCACAAUGGGCGGAAGCCUGAUGCAGCGACGUCGCGUGAGGGAUGGAGGCCUUCGGGUUGUGAACCUCUGUUUCCGGUGGUGAAGGCCCUGUCCGUGUGGUGGGGUUGACGGUAGCCGGGGAUGAAGCGCCGGCUAACUACGUG
rnacentral:rRNA from 1 species